CACCUCUAGCUCAGCCGAGGGGCCCCCUUUGCUUUAACAUGGGGGUACCUGCUGUGCAAAGGAAAGUAAGUGCUUCCAUGUUUGAGUGGAGGUGUCUCCCGAGCAGCACGACCUCCGCA
rnacentral:pre_miRNA from 13 species